rnacentral:rRNA from 1 species
AACGAACGCUGGCGGCAGGCCUAACACAUGCAAGUCGAGCGGACCUUUCGGGGUCAGCGGCGGACGGGUGAGUAACGCGUGGGAAUAUGCCCUUCUCUACGGAAUAGUCCUGGGAAACUGGGGGUAAUACCGUAUACGCCCUUUGGGGGAAAGAUUUAUCGGGGAAGGAUUAGCCCGCGUUGGAUUAGGUAGUUGGUGGGGUAAUGGCCUACCAAGCCGACGAUCCAUAGCUGGUUUGAGAGGAUGAUCAGCCACACUGGGACUGAGACACGGCCCAGACUCCUACGGGAGGCAGCAGUGGGGAAUCUUAGACAAUGGGGGCAACCCUGAUCGAGCCAUGCCGCGUGAGUGAUGAAGGCCUUAGGGUUGUAAAGCUCUUUCAGCUGGGAAGAUAAUGACGGUACCAGCAGAAGAAGCCCCGGCUAACUACGUG